rnacentral:rRNA from 1 species
UACGUAGGGUGCGAGCGUUAAUCGGAAUUACUGGGCGUAAAGCGUGCGUAGGCGGUCCGCAAAGUCUGAUGUGAAAGCCCCGGGCUCAACCUGGGAACUGCAUUGGAAACUAACGGGCUCGAGUGUGGCAGAGGGGGGUGGAAUUCCACGUGUAGCAGUGAAAUGCGUAGAGAUGUGGAGGAACACCGAUGGCGAAGGCAGCCCCCUGGGCUAACACUGACGCUCAUGCACGAAAGCGUGGGGAGCAAACAGG